UACGUAGGGGGCAAGCGUUGUCCGGAUUUAUUGGGCGUAAAGAGCGUGUAGGCGGCCAGAUAGGUCAGCUGUGAAAACUCGAGGCUCAACCUCGAGACGUCGGUUGAAACCAUCUGGCUAGAGUCCGGAAGAGGAGAGUGGAAUUCCCGGUGUAGCGGUGAAAUGCGCAGAUAUCGGGAAGAACACCCGUGGCGAAGGCGGCUCUCGUGGGACGGUACUGACGCUGAGACGCGAAAGCGUGGGGAGCGAACAGG
rnacentral:rRNA from 1 species